rnacentral:rRNA from 1 species
AUUGAACGCUGGCGGCAGGCCUAACACAUGCAAGUCGAACGAGUGGCGGACGGGUGAGUAAUGUCUGGGAAACUGCCCGAUGGAGGGGGAUAACUACUGGAAACGGUAGCUAAUACCGCAUACCAUCAGAUGUGCCCAGAUGGGAUUAGCUGGUAGGUGGGGUAACGGCUCACCUAGGCGACGAUCCCUAGCUGGUCUGAGAGGAUGACCAGCCAAACUGGAACUGAGACAAGGUCCAGACUCCUACGGGGGGCAGCAGUGGGGAAUAUUGCACAAUGGGCGCAAGCCUGAUGAAGCCAUGCCGCGUGUAUGAAGAGGGCCUUCGGGUUGUAAAGUACUUUCAGCGGGGAGGCGUUACCCGCAGAAGAAGCACCGGCUAACUCCGUGCCAGCAGCCGCGGUAAUAC